rnacentral:rRNA from 1 species
GUCUACGGACAUACCACUCUGAAUGCGCCCAAUCUUGUCUGAUCUCGGAAGCUAAGCAGGGUCGGGCCUGGUUAGUACUUGGAUGGGAGAAAUGGUUAAGAUGGUAAAUUUCACGUCGUGUAUU